rnacentral:lncRNA from 1 species
AAAGGGUUGAAUGAUUAUUUAUGUAGUGACCAUGUUCAGAAAGUUUAUUAAUUUAUUCAAUAAAGUGGUAUUUUUAGACCAAAUGUUUGACUUGUGUGAUUCUAGGAUGAAAAGAUGCAAUGUUUAUGUGUAACAAUGUGGUUGCAUGAUUUGUGUCAGUUGCAUAAAUUGGUAAAAAGGUGAUACAUUGUUGUGUAAAUUUGUAAAAAAGUGAAAGAUCGUUGCAUAAAUUGGUAAAAAAAAGUGAAAGAUUGUUGCAUAAAUUGGUAAAAAAGUGAAAGAUUGUUGCCUAAAUUGGUAAAAAAAAAGUGAAACAUUAUUGCAUAAAUUAGUAAAAAGGUGAAACAUUGUUGCAUAGAUUAGUGAAAAGGUGAAAUAUUGUUGCAUAAAAAAUAAGAAAAAGUGAAACAUUGUUGCAUAAAUUAGUAAAAAGGUGAAACAUUGUUGCAUAAAUUCGUAAAAAGGUGAAACAUUGUUGCAUAAAUUCGUAAAAAAAGUGAAACAUUGUUGCAUAAAUUGGUAAAAAGGUGAAACAUUGUUGCGUAGAUUAGUGAAAAGGUGAAAUAUCGUUGCAUAAAAAAUAAGAAAAAGUGAAACAUUGUUGCAUAAAUUAGUAAAAAGGUGAAACAUUGUUGCAUAAAUUAGUAAAAAGGUGAAACAUUGUUGCAUAAAUUCGUAAAAAAAGUGAAACAUUGUUGCAUAAAUUCGUAAAAAAAGUGAAACAUUGUUGCAUAAAUUAGUAAAAAGGUGAAAACAUUGUUGCAUAAAUUCGUAAAAAAAAGUGAAACAUUGUUGCAUAAAUUGGUAAAACGGUGAAACAUUGUUGCGUAGAUUAGUGAAAAGGUGAAAUAUUGUUGCAUAAAAAAUAAGAAAAAGUGAAACAUUGUUGCAUAAAUUAGUAAAAAGGUGAAACAUUGUUGCAUAAAUUAGUAAAAAGGUGAAAACAUUGUUGCAUAUAUAAGCA